rnacentral:rRNA from 1 species
UACAGGGGGGGCAAGCGUUGUUCGGAAUUACUGGGCGUAAAGGGUUCGUAGGUGGCCAACUAAGUCAGACGUGAAAUCCCUCAGCUUAACUUGGAAACUGCCGUUGAUACUAUCUGUCUUGAAUAUUGUGGAGGUGAGCGGAAUAUGUCAUGUAGCGGUGAAAUGCUUAGAUAUGACAUAGAACACCAAUUGCGAAGGCAGCUCGCUACACAUAUAUUGACUCUGAGGCACGAAAGCGUGGGGAUCAAACAGG